GGAGUUGUGGCUCAGCGGUAGAGCGCUCACCUAGCACAUGUGAGGCCCUGAGUUGGAUCCUCAGCACCA
rnacentral:tRNA from 1 species